AGAAGUCAUGGAAGAAGAAGAGUUUAGAAUCCACAGAUAAAGGCGGUUAUGUCAUUAUUUAUAGAUUUCAUCCUGUUGCCUUUGUUUUUGUUUUCCUCUUGCUCUUUUCCUUUUGUGAUAAAACAUUAACCUACUGGGUCAAAGGGAAGGGAAUCUAACAUUUCAUUGGGCAAUUACAAUUACAAUACACCAGGCAUUGGGCUAAAUGCUUUGUUUAUCUGAUUUAACUUACUUCGCUUCAAAAUCCAGUAACACGUAUCACCUCCUGUUUCAAAAAUUAAAUGACCGAGGCCCAAACUAUCAAAUACACUAAGGAAAAUGAAAUGUUCUGGUGAUUGCCACAUUAUAAGAAAGUGCAGAAGGCCUGUACGUUAUCUAUGCUUUUUAUUAGUUAAUAUCAGAUCACAGGUCAUCUCCCGCAUGUGUGAUACUCCCAUCUUGCUCGUUCUUCUCUUCCUUUGGCUUUCUCCUCUUUCUCUUUCUCUCAAUUAAUUCCAUUACGUUCUAUUUUUGCCGUUUUUCUCUCUGCCUAUCUCUUACACCCAUCGCCAGCUGCAUUGUUGCCUUUUAGGCCCACAUGGUUAUUGACUACUUAACUGAAAUGAAAGCAAACGGAAAGAAAGCCUUUUUAAAACUUCUGGACUAAAAUGGCAACAAGCAAUAAUGAUGUCACAACACGUGACCCAAAGAGAGAAAGUCAUACAUUCUAGCCAAGGCUUCUGAUAUACCCGGGAAAGGUGCCCACUGAACUUUUUGUGAGGUUCUGAAUCAUUGCUGGUAAUACUAAGGUUCUCAUCUUUCCGUUCUGAAAAACAGAAUCUGCAACCACAAGACAUGAGCAUUUUAUCAGCACGUGAGAAGUUACCAGAGACCUGGAAGACCCUUGUUCUCUGGUUUCUUGGAGAUUCUGUGAGCUAUCACUAUUCCGUCAGAUAUAUUCCUUUGAAUAUGUCAGACAAAACGAAGAAGAAGCAGAAGAAGCAGAAGAAGAAGGGGAAGAAAGAAAAGAAUAGAAUAGAAGAAGAUGAAAGAAACCUUCCUGUAAAGGACAGAGACUUAGGAUGCGGACAUCUGAAAGUAGCAUCAUGUAGAAAAUCCAAGAUGAGACUGGUCGACUUAAAUUCCGCCCAUUAAUUUGGUCCUGAGAAUGCAGAGGCUGCUUUGGAAAACCAAAGCUCUAUUACUACUCCAGGAGAUUUUAUGCUCUGUUUGACUGUUAAAGUUAAGGCUGGCACAACAGGUGCCUUCCAUUUUGAUGCUUUCUGAACCCCCACUUUCAGACAAACAAGAAGAAACCAAGGGAAUUAAUCAUUUCCUCGGUUCAAUUUCAAGAAAAGAUAUUCAUUUAUUUGCAAACUUUGCAAACGCCGUCUGAAUACCAGACUCCAUAUUUAAACAAAUCAAAUCUUGGAGAUCAAGCAGAUGCUAUAAAUCAUCAUAAUAGCUCCCUGUUCCCCCACCCCCCGGACAAACAAACAGGCAUUAAAAGAAAAUUAGUGUUGAAGAACAGAGCUAGUGGGUAGGUGGUUUAUAGCUUGUGGGUUGAUGAUCUGACAACAUUUUAGCAGAGAACUUUGCUGCCUGGCAAAAAGCAGCGAGUUGCUAAACACUCAGAGAUUGUCAUGAAUACGUAAGGGCAAAUGUAUUGUUUCCUGGAAAUAGGGGCAGUGUUUGAAAGCUAUAGCCCUGAAACUGUCAUGAUCUGCAUCUCAUGAGGAUGUGUCUUUCCUUGAUGAAAAGCAUUUAGAUUCCUGGCAGGAACCACCCCCUCCUCUUCAACAGACUCCUACCUUCCUGAAUUAAUCACAGACCUCGUUGGCUCAUUAAGUCUUGGUGUCAUUUUGAUGCUUAUGUUAUUACAAUGAUACAUACAAAGCUACAAUAUUCAAUUUCUGUUUAAAGGAUUUUAAGGCUAUACUUUGGAGAUGAGAAAUUUUGAAUCAUCCAAUUGAUUCAGGAAAUGAGUUUGCUGGCCUUUGGCAGAGUCAUUGGAAGAAAGAAAAAGAGAAAGCAAAUCUCCUGAGGCUUAAAUCAAGGGUGCUCUUAGGUCUCCAUUAUACUUUUUGGAAUAAAAUAAUAACGGUAGUCA
ensembl:lncRNA